GCGAUUCGCCCUUCGGGGUGCACCAGGCGCGAAAACUUUACAAUGCUGGCAACCGCAAUUAGGGAACCUCUAGUGCCAGGAUACACUUUUGGCUGUCGUGAUGCCUAAAAAGCAUUGCAUACCAAGGGCCGGGCAAGACCGGUGCCAACCGCCGCGGUAACACCGGCGGCUCGAGUGGUAACCGUUAUUGUUGGGUCUAAAGGGUCUGUAGCCGGCCGGAUAAGUCUCUUGGGAAAUCUGGCAGCUUAACUGUUAGGCUUCCAGGAGAUACUGAUUGGCUCGAGGCCGGGAGAGGUGAGAGGUACUUCAGGGGUAGGGGUGAAAUCUUGUAAUCCUUGAAGGACCACCAGUGGCAAAGGCGUCUCACCAGAACGGACCUGACGGCUAGGGACGAAAGCUAGGGGCACGAACCGGAUUAGAUACCCGGGUAGUCCUAGCCGUAAACGAUACUCGCUAGGUGUCGGCCACGGUGCGACCGUGGUCAGUGCCGUACGGAAGCCGUGAAGCGAGCCACCUGGGAAGUACGGCCGCCAGGCUGAUACUUAAAGGAAUUGGCGGGGGAGCAC
rnacentral:rRNA from 1 species